rnacentral:rRNA from 1 species
CUGUGUGUUGUUGGGUAGGGGAGCGUUCUGUAAGCCUGUGAAGGUGUGUCGUGAGGCAUGCUGGAGGUAUCAGAAGUGCGAAUGCUGACAUAAGUAACGAUAAUGCGGGUGAAAAACCCGCACGCCGGAAGACCAAGGGUUCCUGUCCAACGUUAAUCGGGGCAGGGUGAGUCGACCCCUAAGGCGAGGCCGAAAGGCGUAGUCGAUGGGAAACGGGUUAAUAUUCCCGUACUUGGUGUUACUGCGAAGGGGGGACGGAGAAGGCUAUGUUGGCCGGGCGACGGUUGUCCCGGUUUAAGCGUGUAGGUGUGUGUUCCAGGUAAAUCCGGUUCACUUUAACACUGAGGCGUGACGACGAGGCACUACGGUGCUGAAGCAACAAAUGCCCUGCUUCCAGGAAAAGCCUCUAAGCAUCAGGUAACAUCAAAUCGUACCCCAAACCGACACAGGUGGUCAGGUAGAGAAUACCAAGGCGCUUGAGAGAACUCGGGUGAAGGAACUAGGCAAAAUGGUGCCGUAACUUCGGGAGAAGGCACGCUGACACGUAGGUGAAGUGAUUUACUCAUGGAGCUGAAGUCAGUCGAAGAUACCAGCUGGCUGCAACUGUUUAUUAAAAACACAGCACUGUGCAAACACGAAAGUGGACGUAUACGGUGUGACGCCUGCCCGGUGCCGGAAGGUUAAUUGAUGGGGUCAGCGCAAGCGAAGCUCCUGAUCGAAGCCCCGGUAAACGGCGGCCGUAACUAUAACGGUCCUAAGGUAGCGAAAUUCCUUGUCGGGUAAGUUCCGACCUGCACGAAUGGCGUAAUGAUGGCCAGGCUGUCUCCACCCGAGACUCAGUGAAAUUGAACUCGCUGUGAAGAUGCAGUGUACCCGCGGCAAGACGGAAAGACCCCGUGAACCUUUACUAUAGCUUGACACUGAACAUUGAGCCUUGAUGUGUAG